GACGAACGCUGGCGGCGUGCUUAACACAUGCAAGUCGAACGGGCCCGCUCUCUUUUUUGGGGGUGGGUUGAGUGGCGAACGGGUGAGUAUCACGUGAGUAACCUGCCCCCUGCUCCUGGAUAACUGCUUGAAAGGGCGGCUAAUACGGGGUGUGCCGGCUGGUCCGCAUGGGCCUGGUCGGGAUAGUUUCAUCUUCGGGUGUUUCGGUGGGGGAUGGGCUCGCGGCCUAUCAGCUUGUUGGGGGGGUGAUGGCCCACCCAGGCGGUGACGGGUAGCCGGCCAGGGGGGGUGGGCGGCCAGGCUGGGACUGAGGCCCGGCCCAGACUCCUGCGGGAGGCAGCGGUGGGGGGUAUUGCACGAUGGGCGGAGGCCUGAUGCAGCGACGGCGCGUGAGGGAUGGAGGCCUUCGGGUUGGGAACCUCUUUCUCCGGUGGUGAAGGCCCUGUCCGUUGCGGCGGGGUUGACGGUAGCCGGGUAUGAAGCGCCGGCUAACUACGUG
rnacentral:rRNA from 1 species